UGGUGCCCAAAACCGCAUGCAGCAGUAGUCAAUAUGAAUAGUGAACUGAAAAAUGUUCAGCAUCUCUAUUAAAAGGCGAUGACCUGGCUGUGGCCAUCAGUUGAGGAAGACAGAGCAGUGCUCCACACUGGGAUGUCUUCAGGUAGAGAUAAACUGGUGAAAUGACAGACCUCUGAAAACCAGCAUUCUGGAAACCCAGCAGUGGGAAUUUUGCCACAGUGGAACUGGGAUAGAGCAGGAAUAUGAUCUUGUUGGCAGGUUUGCACUGCUGUUGUCUGAUGGAGGUUAUGCCUACUUUGCUCCACUGGCAUUAGCCAUGGUGCUGUAUGGGGAGAGAGACUGCCCAUGACAGAAGCAUCACUGUUAUACAGUUCCUCACUCAAUUCAAUCUCCCUGCUGAUCACCAUUGGAGAGCAGAUUGCAACUUGGGGAAGUGAUGUUGGUGGCAGUGCUGCAGCUCUGUAGGUUCAGUCAUGCUAGAGAUUAGGUCUGCUUCAAGCUGUCUCAUGUCCAUGCCCUUCCUCUGAUCCCAAUCAUUAAAAGAUAAGAUUUCUUGAAAUAUCAGCAAUUUUUUUGCCCCCCCCCCUGGCUGGAGCAAACCACUUAGCAUACAGAUGUGGGAACACUUGAAUAGGUUUUCAGUGGAAAAGAAAUGCUGAGCUCCUAAGAUGUAUAAUUUAUACAGACUAAUCAUCUUUCACCUGCAGAGUGCUGGUAAAUGCUGCUUUUGUACCGUGGUCAAGGGCAUGCAUCAAUAAGCCGGAAAAAAGGGAUGUGGUGACAGUAUUUGUUUCUUCUGAGGAAAAAAAAAAAAAAAAACAGAAUAAAAAUAAGAAUACGCAUCAGAGAGGAAGAGUCCUGGCUUCUCAGAGUUUCCCUAAUGUGCACUUGGUUUAAAACUUUCUUCUUUUUUCUUUGAGGACAGUGUUGCAGGUUUUGAACUACGUACUUUUCAAAAAGGGCCUGCUUUGUGACCUGGGGUACAAUCUAUGUCUGCUACUGAAGCUAUCUUGACUGGCAUGAGAAAUGUAAGAAUUUUGAAGAAACUUGGCCUGACAAAUAUCUGUUUGCACAUUUGGAUUUAUGAAAACUUCUGAUCUCUCUGUGUCAUGGUCCCCUUCUGUAACAUAACAGGUAUACAAUGAUAUCUUUGACUUCAUCUCAUAAAGAUGAUGUGAAAAUAAAUCAUAUAAUCUUUGCAAUGCCUUUUGGUACUGCUGUGAUGAGCACUGUAAGAAAACCCACAAGCAAAUGAAUAAUUCAUUGUUUAAAUCAGGCUCUGAAUAGUACACAGUAAACAAGUCUUUCAUACUGAAUCGUAAAAGUAAGGCCAAAUAAUUAAUAAUUACUUGUUCAAUUAUCACUGUCCAUUCAGAGUACUGAUGAAGAAGAUGGGAAUCCCUGUGGAAAAACCAUAGUCAUGUCUUAAGGAUGGAGUAUUGUAUGACUGGAAAUGAUAAUGUUGAUAGUUUGUUUUUUCUUUCUUUAUCUAAGACACCUUUGGUAUUAGUUAUGAUGUGUACUUUGGAUUAAAGAUGAAGUGUAUUAUUCUUUCUAAAUUGCUUGAAUUUAGUCUGCAGGUCUCCUAAUAGACCUUUACUUCUGUUUUCAGAAUUUCCUGUCUUGCCAUGAAUCCUUUUGCUAAUGGUGUUUAAGCAUCAAAAGAAGAGUAUAACACCAUCUCUGAUCAUUGCAGAAAAAUUCCUGAAUAUAAUUUUAAGAUUGAAUUUUAUCUCUUGAUAAUAAUUGCUCUUAAGAAAAAACUAAUAGAAGAGGAGAGUUAAACUUUUCUGCUGAGUAUCAGCUGGAUGACGAGAAAUUCUUUUUGGUAGAAUCACAGGUACAGGAAUAGCUUGUUCCAGUUUUCAACCUUGUGACCUUCCUUCAGAUAGCUCUGAAUGUUCAGAUUUUAAGGCUGAAAAAGAAAACAGAGAGGUAUUUGAAGCUCCACUACACAAAAAUGUCAAUAAUUCAGACUGACUGAUAGCUUCUCUAAUAACUAAAGUCACCUGCAAUUUUUUAUAGUCCUAGAGCAUAAGCCAUCUAUAACAUAUAAUCAGUUCCACUGUGAAGAUGGAACUGAUGUUUAUUGUUUCCUAUACGUUCCCUCCCUACUUCCUAAGGUGAAUUUUUAAAAAUCAAUUCACAUAAUUUGAUCAAUUUAAAAUACUGAAUACACUGAGGUAAUUAUAGCAAAGUUCUUGCAUCUUAUUGUGUCCAGUUACAGUAAGGCUACUUACUGACAGUGCAGCAUUAAAGAUAAACCAGCAUUUACAUGAAAACAGUCAUAAUUUACAUCUGCCAUUUUUAAGUAAGUCCUUUUAACUGAUUUUGAAGUAGUCUUUGCAAAGUGGUGAUUUAUAUUUUAAAAAUGAGGGCUUCAUCUCUUUCUCUGAAAAUGAUGCUUGAAAUCCGUAGGAGAGUGAAACAAGCAAUUUCAGUCACUAAAGAUAAGGUCUGUGUUUUUUAAAUAAAAGAGAGUGAAAGAGCUGUUGUUCUAAUUUAGCAAAAUUGUGUCAGCUCAGUUUUCUAUUUAUUUAUGGUAAAAUUCUGUUUCCAGAUUUUGAAUGCACAUAUUUAACAAGAUAUGGUCAGUCAGUAUGGUGGUGAUUAGUCCAAAAUUUGAUCAGGUUGUCACUUGACGCUCACUGGGCACUUUCGUAAAGGCCUUCAUUGAGAGAUCAUGACCAGUACAAAGGCAUUUAAUGAAUAUUCCAUAAUUGGGAAAAAGCCUCUUAAGAUCUAGAAUUUCAGAAAUACUGAAGUUUAAACAUAUAAAAAUAUCUUUGGGCCAACUGUUACUGUCACGUUCAGGUGCAGACAAUUUUAUAGCUUUUUCUUGAGAUUGCUACCCCCUAAUGAAUUUGUUGACAUUCCUAGUGAAAUUUGUAAGUAUAUUCUAUACAUUUCAUAUUUAAAAGUAUAUUUUCUACUUAGAUAAAUAUUAAUGUAAGCCACACACAUAUUUAAAACAAUUUGGAAUGAUCAUAUACUCAUGUAGAUAAUGUAGAUAUACCUUAAGAAAGUUUUAUUUUUGUAUGAAAUUCCUGAAUUUUGAUUCACUACUGUAGAAGACUUCAUGAAACUCACAAGAGCCGAGUGUUCUUGGACAUUUGUGCUCUACCACUCUCAAUGUUCUUUUCUUCUUUGACUUAACAAUUUCUGUGCAAGAUCACUGUUCAAAUAUAUCCUAGAGGCAAGCACAGCUCUUGUUGAUUUAAUAUUGCAAUAAGUAUGAUAAAUAGCAGCUAUGGCAUACUAUUGUUUUCAAACGUGGUUUGGUUUUGUUUUUAAAGCAAACAGAUCUGUUUGAGACUUCUGGAACAAUCUGAAAAAAAAAAAAACACUGGUACUUAAGAAUAGGAAGGCAAAUUUCAAUGAAAAGCUCUGCUAGAACAUUCAAGUGAUUGGAAGGAAAUAACGGAUCCAAUACAAAAGGACACAUCUGCAUUUUAGAAUUGUGGAGAAAUUGGAGCCUUAAGUACAAAAGGAAGCAGAUAAAUGUUUUGGAAGAAGGAGAAUUUCCUUCCCGGAUUCUAAAGCUGGCAAAGAUCAGUAAUCACACUUCUAUUAUUUUCUACAUCAGAGUAGGUAAUCUGUUAUAUUCUGCAUCAGUAUAAACUUAAAAAUGAUGGAUACAUAUUUCCAAAAGGUACCAAAUGUACCAAAUUAUUACAGAUUAUUAGAGAUGGUUGUUAGAUGCCAAUAUUUACUUCUUCCUCUGUCAACGUUUUCUUAGGAACUUAAGUAAUUUGAAAUCAGAGUUAGAAUAGAAUACAUAGCUGAGUUGACCUACAGAGGUCAUUAAGUUGAACUGCUGGACUGCUUUGGGGCUCAUACAAGGUUAAUCACAGACAGGCACGGGACAUCGGCCACCUCACUAGGAAGCCUGUUCCAGUUUCUGAUCACCUUCAUGGUACAGAGAUGUUUUCAGGCCCAGUCUGACCUUUCUCUGGUACAGCAUUAUGUUGUGUUCUCAUCCUGCCAUUGGUGACCAGGAGCAGAGCCUGGCAUCUCCCUCUGCUCCCCCUCCUCAGGGAGCUGCAGAGAGCAAUGAGAUAAUCUCUGGGCCUCCUCUUCUCCAAACUGGACAACCUAAGUUUUCUCCAGCCCUGCUACCAGCUUUCAUUCCUCCUCUGGACUCUUUCGAGGACCUUAAUACCUUUUUCAUUUUGUGGAACCUAGAACUCCAUACAAAAUUCAAGGCGGUGUCUCACCACAGCUAAAUACAAUUACCUCUUUUGACUGGCUGCUUGUGCUGUGCUUAAUGGCAACCCAAAAUGGGGUUUUCCCCUUGGCUGCCAGGACAUGCUGCUGACUCUUGCUGACUCUUGCUGAGCCUUCUUUUGGCCAGCGCUCCCAAAACCCUAUCUGCUGAGCUGGUCUCCAGCCACUAAUCUCCCAGUCUAUCUGUGUGUCUGGCACUGCUCCAUUCCAGGUGCUGCACCCAACAUUUUCCUUUCUUGAAUUUCAUGUCAUUGCUGAUGGCCCAGUGCUCCAACAUAUUCAGAUGCUUCUACCUUGCUGAUUAGCAUUAUCAGCAAGUUUGUUUAGGUUGUGUUCCACUCCUGCAUACAGAUCAUUGAUAAAAAUUUUGAACAGUACUGGUACUAGAACUGAGUGAGCCCUGGGGAACACCACUGGUGGCUGACCACUGGCCAGAUGUAGUCCCACUCACUAUGACUCCUCAAACUUUUUGUUCAAGCCAGUUCACAGUGAGUCCAAUACUUCAUCAAUCUCACAGCCAAGGAUAGAGUUCAAGGUUGGAGCAAAAAGUGUGAGGUUAUUUGAAACAACUUAUGGCCAGUAGUAUGAUCUUUAACAGACCAAAUGCUGGGUCCUACAUUUUGGUCUCAACAAGCCCAUGCAUCGCUACAGGCUUGGGGCAGAGUAGCUGGCAGGCUGCAUAGAGAAAAAAGAUGUUAGUUGACAGGCAGCUGAAUAUGAGCCAGCAGUGCGCCUAGGUGGCCAAGGUCAGUGGCAUCCUGGUUUGUAUCAGAAUAGUGUAGUCAGCAUCACUAGGAAGGUGAUCGUCCCUCUCCACUGGUAAAGCUGCACCUCAAGUACAGUGUUCUGUUUUGGGCCCCUCACUAGAAGAAAGACACCAAGGCCCUGGAGUAUGUCCAAAGAAGGGCAACAAAGCUGAUAACGGGUUUGAAACGCAGUCUUAUGAAGAGUGUCUGAAAAAAACUGGGAUUCUUUAGUCUAGGGAAGAGGAGGCUUGGGAGACCUCAUUGCAUUCUACUCUACCUGAAAAGAAGUUGUAGUGAGCUAGAAGUUCACCUAUUUUCCCAGGUACCUAGUGAUAGGACAAGAGGUAAUGGCCACAAGUUGAGCCAGGGGAGGUUCAAGUUGGAUAGUAGGAAACAUUUCUCAAGAGUGGUGAAGUAUUGGAACAGGCUGCGUGAAGGUUUUCAAGAAAAGGAUAGAUGUGGCAAUGAGAGACAUGGUUUAGUGGGCACAGGUGAUAGGUUGAUGGUUGGACUAGAUAAUCUGUGUGAUUUGUUCCAACUUUGAUGAUUCUAUGAUUCUGCAAUUCUUUGAUGAUAUCUGAAACUUAGAGGCAGAAGGCCUGAAGCAGUGCAUGCACCUUUCUCUUGUGAUGCAAGUAAAGACCUGAGUUAUGAACUGUGGACUUGGAGUUCUUUACGUAUUUACCCAGGGAUCUCAAAUCAUAUUAUAACUAAUGAAAUAAUCUUGAUCACAAUGUGGAAGGUACCUGUAAGCUACUAUGUACUUGUCUUAGGCAUGUAUCAGUGGAAAUAUAAAUCAGUCUGGCUUGUACUACAUGCAACAGUAAUAUCAAGAACAGAAAGAAAAUGUAUCUUUUCCACUCUUAUUCUGCUGAUCCAAGAGUGUAAGAAAAUUCACUCAUGCUUGCAGAAUUCUGCCUGCUGUCAACAGCACUUCUAAGAUGCGUCUUUAGCCUGCUUUCCAAUGAGAACAAGACAUUUUCUUGUUUUCCUCAUGCUCUUCAUCUCUUCAUUCUAAUAUUUCAUGGUCUUGGCUAAUUACUGGAGAGUUGGGCACAGCUGUAAGUGGAAACCCUAAAACUGUGAUAAAAUUGGUGACUGUCUUGAGGAAGAAGAUAAAUCAGUCCUUUCUGAGGGUCACAUGAGCUUACCUGGCCUCUCUUCUGUUUGAUCUGGGAGCUUGACAGCUAAGGACUUGCCAGAGCAGGGACUGUGCCUGUGCCCAGCCUCUGUGAAACAAGAUCACUGGGGAGACAUGGUAAUGUUAAGGUGGCCAGGAAUAAUAAUUAGCUAUACAAAUGGAAGGAAACUUCAAUUUUACUACUAAUACUGUUUACAGAAGAACUUGGAACUACUUUUCUGUCUCUAAUUAUACUGCUAGACUGUUUGGAAUUACAUUGUUAUAGUUUUCAUCAGCUGAUGAGUGAAAACUCCCAGAUUUUAUUUCCAUCCAUAUUGCUGAUAAAAGCAGAGAAUUAUUUACAGUAUUGAAGUUGAAGGCCACUGAAGAAAAUGUUUCUUUCAAUAAAUAAAUUGCAGCAUCUCAUACUCCAAGAGGUUUUUGUUUUUGUUUUAAUCUUCUAAGUAAAUGUCCUUUUCAGGGUUGGACAUUUUAAAUGAAUUUUUGUAUGGAUUUAGAAUUUUUGUUCUUUCUGCUAAGAAUCACAUAUGAAAUGUGUGAGGAAUGUGCACGACCGUGUCUGACUAAUUUUGUUCUUCAUGGGAGCACAGGAAGUAACUAUUUGGUGUAGAAAGAAAUCAGAACUGCAGAUCAGAAACAUCUCCCAGUCCAUU
rnacentral:lncRNA from 1 species